GAUGAAGAACGUAGCGAAAUGCGAUAAGUAAUGUGAAUUGCAGAAUUCAGUGAAUCAUCGAAUCUUUGAACGCACAUUGCGCCCGCCAGUAUUCUGGCGGGCAUGCCUGUCCGAGCGUCAUUUCAACCCUCGAACCCCUCCGGGGGGUCGGCGUUGGGGAUCGGCCCUUUACCGGCCGGCCCCGAAAUACAGUGGCGGUCUCGCCGCAGCCUCUCCUGCGCAGUAGUUUGCACACUCGCACCGGGAGCGCGGCGCAGUCCAAUGCCGUAAAACACCCAACUUUCUGAAAUGUUGACCUCGGAUCAGGUAGGAAUACCCGCUGAACUUAAGCAUAUAAUAAGCGGAGGA
rnacentral:misc_RNA from 1 species